UAUUAUUCAACAGGCGAGCGGUGACAUAUGCUAGGAAUGGUAUCGCUUUGACGUGGCCUAAAAGAAACCAUCGAGUUGUAAUAUUAAGUGUAGUUAAUUCACUCCAACAAACAACGCCGGCGCCGGCUGAGGGAGUGUCGUGACUUAUUUGAGAAAUCAAGAAAUAUUAGAAGUAAUACGGAUAAAUUCUACUAAGUUGAAAAAUGUGCUACCUACUUUUUUCGCUUUUGAAUACUUAACUAGGACUUGUUUUAGUAUAUGUAUUUGGAGCCGAAAUACCAACUUGUUUCAGUUCAGAAAAAUGAUGUUCUAUUAAUAAAUUCAGCUAUAAGUUAGCAUUAUUUGUUUGAUGGGCGCUGCCUGCUCUCAGAAGCUGCCAUUCCAAAUCAUGAUGUCACCCAUAUGUUGGCAGAUCUAUUGUAGGUAUUACGUCAAGAUGCUGUGACGACAUGCCACGUUAUUCUACUGAUAAGGACGUAUUUUUACUUCAAUUCAAUUCGUCGAAGGAUAGUUUUAAAUCAUGAAAGAGUUGCCAUGAUGAUCUACACAGAAAAGCAUGAUGACAUGAAAAACGUGUCGUUAUUAUAAUCGAUGUUCGCCAUCGCCAUGAUUUUGGCCAUGCAAGUAGCUUCGUUACAGCACUUACAGCCUACAGGAGUUACUGGACCAUCAGUUACUUCAUAAAGCCAUCUAUCAUGUUGGUUUUUUGAACUGUUUGGUGUUAUGGCUAUUUUUUCAACUUCAGACAUAUUGCUAUUAAAAAAUAUAAAAUACAUUUUAAGUUGAGUAAUUUUGAAUAAAAGAAAGUUUUGAUAACUGAAACAAAUGAAAAUAAAAAUAUUACCUACUGAAUAAUUUUUUCAAAGUGUAUAUAUGUUUAAAAUACUUACUUCCUAAUCACUUCACUGUCAUUAUCUUGAGAAAAGCCAUCAGCUAUGUUUAAGUAUCCUGAAUAACAUGAAGUACCUAUCCAUAUUCCAUAUAUAAUUUAGUACUUAUAUACUUAUCAAAGCUCAAAGGUAAGAAAGGAACCUUUUGGCGAGAAGUUGUUAAAUUAGGAAAAAAUAACUCUUGCUUCUCAGUUUUUACUACCUAUUUAUUAGUGUAAAGCUUUUCAAACACUGAUUUAAGCUUAAUGAUGAACACUUGGUGUUUGAAAAGCUUUGCAGUAAUAAAUAGUAAAAACUGAGAAGUAAGAAUUAUUUUUUCCUAAUUAUAUAUUUAUGCUGUUACUUAAGUUGGGAAACUUUUUUUUAGCUCCAACAUGAUUAGGUAUUAGGCUUUAGAGUUGGGCAAUGGUGAAAAAAUGAAGCCUGUUGAGAAAAAUCUAAACUCACAAAGUGGGAUUAACACUUUGAUUUAACUGUACUUUUACUCCUAAAACCAUAUAAAUAAUUGAAUAUGGGAACAUGAGGAGAGGAAUCAUCGGCGAAUCACUCAAAUUUAUUUGCUGAGAAGUGAGAAUUACAGUUAUAUGUACUUACAUGCGGAAAUGGUGUGUAGGUACACUUUUACUUUUGAAAAUGUUGGUAUAAAUAAGCAAAAGUUAUGUACCUGUACCUACCUAUCCAAAAAAAAAAAAAUGAAAUAAUAGGUAUAAAUAAAUAAAUUUGGCAAAAAAUUGAAAAAAAAAAUGAAAGAAUAUGCGCGCACAGAAAAGAUUAUGCGCGAAUUUUCCUAACUAGGUAUGCGUAGGUAGGUAUAACACCCAAAAAAUCUGACCUUUAAGUCGUUGUAUAAUGAUUAAUCCUAGGUAUUUGACUAAAGAUACUAUGUUGUAGCUAGAUAUUAAAGAUGAAAACAAACGUUCAGUUGAUGGACAUGAUAUUAUAAGUAUCAGACGUUUAAACACGUGGGAAAAUAAAAUCAUUAAUAACAAAUAAUUUUUAUGAUUUUAAAAUAUUUUAUCUGAAUUUCAAGAGCUUGGAAAAAAUAAUUUAGAAUCCCUAUCAAUGAGAUUUUAUUUUUAGUUGUUAAAUUUGAAAAAUACAAAAUUUUUGAGAUAGAAACUUUUUUUUUAAAUUAAUAAAUUUGAAUAAUUAUUGUUUUUCCAUAACUAGCGAUGGGCGGGCCAGCUGGUCUUGAAACUAAAAAAAAAAAGAACAACAAGAAACUUUUUUUUUAAAUUAAUAAAUUUGAAUAAUUAUUGUUUUUCCAUCACUAGCGAUGGGCGGGCCAGCUGGUCUUGAAACUAAAAAAAAAAAAAGAACAACAAUCUUAAUAUGUACUAUUAAGACCUAUAUGCUAUGUGUAUUUGCAACUGAAUGCAGAAAAAAACUUACCUAUUAGGAUCGUCUCCUGGAUUGAAUAUCACUUAGAUUAACUUUGUAAUUAUCUACUCUUCUGCUGCCUUAAAUUUGUUCAUCUUAAAUAAUACAUAAGAUAUUGCAGAAGCAAUAUAUAAAAACAGUAAACUUAAACAAUAGGAACUCGAAAUCUUAUGAAAUAAAGUUUUGGGUCCUGGUUUUUUAAAACUAAUUUUUAAGUACAUAACCAGGAAACCAAAUGCUACUAUUACUACAAAAAUUAACAUUAUAGUUAAAAAAGUAUCCUCUUCAGUCAAAAAGGGGGAGCCCGGAGCACUGGUUACAUCCAUUUUUUGAGUUGGAAUUUUUCAAAUGCCCCGGGAUAUAAAGUGUGAAGUAUUGUUAGACAGGGGAGAGAUUGGAAGUUUGGAAUCUGUAAAAAAAAAAAAAAUAUGUAUGUUCUCAAAAACCUGCGCUAUUCACCCCGAAAGUUUCGACCAGAAUUUACAUUUUUUCCAACUCCCCUUCCAAUACCCCAAAAAUGAUUGAUAACUUCGGUUUUCCUACAAUGUACCUCAAUUUUUGAAUUCUUUGAAUUUUUGGUUUUUCAAAUGUACAUAUAAAAUCAUCAAUUUUGGAUGAGCCGAUGAUUAUUUAUGAAUUUUUUUACAAAACACCAAAACCUCAGUAAAAUAUUCAACCAAUAGAAAAUUCAUGCGGUAUUUAAGACACAUGAAAAAUGAAUCGAGAAGGUACCAGAUGGAUUCGAAGUUAUACCUACUCCUUCCCAUGUAAUGAAAUUUUUGAAUCAAUGAUACCCUAUUUUUGUACCACCUCUUAAAAUUUUCAUCAAACACUGAAAAAACGUGAGCCUUUAGACACGGAUCACCGGUAAUUUUCAGGAUAUUUUUUUUUGUGGAUUAUGAAUCAAUCUAGCUACAGGGAGCAAUACAAUUAAAGAAAAAAUCAUCGUGUGUAUAAUAACUAAGAACCACUGAAAUGGCAGGGAAAGGUAUCUUAUCUCCUCUCUUUCGCUCUGCAUGUCCGCCUCAGGUGUUUCGUAUCUCAGAUAUAAUUUAAAGAUUCGCUUAUAUUUUUCAGUUUAAAAAAAAUCAUCAAAAUACAGAAAAUAUUCAUUACCUAUUUGAAAAGUUUUGGGGCUCACCCACUUACCCCCUCCCCCAGCCUCAUGGGUUGGAGUUUUAUGAUCAGAACAAAAAAGUCGACCAGGUCAGAAUUAAAGCAUAAAUCAUUUUUUUUCAUUUUAUUCUCAAUUUUGAGGACCUGCAACUCGCUAUUCCAAGCGGCAGAAUUCCAGCAAUAUGCUAGCUGGCUCAGAUAGCACCAUUUUUAACACGUGUGUUAGCAUAUCUGCUGGUAAGUGUUACUAGCAUAAUAGGUACUAGGUAAUUAUGCUAGCACUACGCUAGCGUCAAUUUGCUAGCAAAUAUUCCAGCGCACAUGCCAGCAUUAUUCUAGUAACGUUUUUUAGCUGCCCAACUUCAUAUUUACGCCUCCUGGAGCAUAUUCAAAAUUCUGGAGAAAUUGAAAAAUCACCCUGGAGGCUCCAGGGGGGGGGGUGGGGUAGUUCUGAACGAACACAGCGAUUCGCGCAAAUUUCAAAAAUUUCCUCGUGAUUUUUGACCAUUUUCCUUAAUUAUACAUAAUAUGUAAGUAACUAGCAAAACACUAGCCUGCUUUUUACUAGUAUGUCAUACGUUAUUCAUAACGAAACGAAAAACGAAAAAACAGUAAAUUACUUACUUAGCGAAAACGAAAUUGUCGAAAUUUUCUACGGAAUAUAACUAUGUAGGGGUAACGGCCCUAUUCUUUUACCCCCCUAAGGACAUAUCUUGAAAUUUCUUCUGACCUAAUGAAGCUAGAGAAAAACUGAAAAGCGCAUUGAAAUCAGCAAACAUUCGUUGACAAGAUUCAGUGUUUGCCAAAAGUUUAAUUUCAUUAGGUUCGCCAAAAAAAAAUAUUUUUUGCAAAAAAACGAGUUCGCUAUUUUUUUUACCCCCAAUCGCUAUUUCGUUUACCCCCAUUCGCUAUUUUUUUUACCCCCCAAUUUUUUUUGUGUUUUCAAUUGUAACAACGUAAUUCAACGUUUCCUAACAAAUUAUUAAUUAAUCAUGCCAAAAAGUGCCCUUUCCGUUUUCAUGAGUGUAUUCAUUGCUUGAAAACAUAAUUGAGAAUAAAAUUGAGAAUUUAUAAAGAUUAUUUGUGCAAAUUUUCAACAAAAAAAUUUAAUACACGUAUUUAUGGGCUCUAAAAUUCCUGGACCACCAGAUGAACGCAUUUUUUUCACAAGAAACUAUUUUUUGCGGAUAUAAAUAGUAAAAAAAUUGCUGUGAAAGUUCCUGCUCCAAUUUUCUGUUUCCAUGUUACUGUUAUACUUAAGGUUUUCAAUUUUGUAACAGUUUUUGUUUCGUUUGCUUUCGUAGACAACCUAUAUUAGAGAGGUAUCAAUCAUUUAUUCAAUUUUUUUGGUUAAUUGUUUACAUUGAUGUAAUCAACUGUAAAAAGUGUUUUUUGGACAAUAUUUACAAAAGUUCAGAGCUGUACAUUCAAAACUUCCCCAAAAAUGAAUAAAAUUGGUAUCACGUCUUUAAACGGUCUUCAGCGAGCAAAAAUUCUGAAAAUAGUGGGGGGUAAAAAAAUUAGAGAACAAAAAUUAAUAUGGAUUUUCUAUUUUUUUACCCGGUAAAAAAAAUAGAAAACUGGGCUUGAAUCGUUCCCCUAUUUUUUUACCCCCUCUAAAAAUUUUUAGAAAACAAUUUCGAUGAAAAAUAACUAGCUCAUCUAAUAGACCAGAGUGUGUAGAAUUCAGCGAUGUACUCACGAACUCAUUUUGAUGGAAAUUAGUGUGUCCAAUCCUUAAAAUCAAAACACACUUUUUUAAAAUUUUGUUAAGAAAAUCGACUAAAAUUCACAUCACAUUUUUCGAAGUCCCCUGAACCAUGAAGAUUGAAUGGAAAAUGCAGUUUUUCAAGGGCAUUGUGUUCCAAAAGAACCACAAAACAUGUUGAUAUGGUUUUCAAAUCAAUUCAUGACUUUGGUGGCUUAUUUUUCAGAAAAUUCUCGGGGGGGUAAAAAAAACUAGAGAGGGUAAAAAAAACUGGGCCGUUACCCCUACAAUCAACAAAAACGAACAAAUUCCUUUAUUGAUUUUUAUUCGUCUUUCCUCCAAAAAAAAUCUGUAAAAACCAGUUUUUUUUCAAAAAUUGAAAUACAAAUAAAUACAAAUACUACCUAAUUAAAUUGCUGAAAACUGCAAAAAAAGAAUAGUGUGACUGAAAUCUCACAAAUUACUUACCACAAAAUAUAUAUUAAAAACUGAUUGAAAUUAGUGGAAAACUUGCUCACAAAAUGUACACAGUGAAUCAAAAUGAGAAUUAUCCUGUAAUUAGAAAAAGUAAGUACCUAAUCACUAAUAGACUUUAGAAAUGAAAAAUUUUCAUUUUUGGAAUAGGGAUUUUUUCAAAGGGUACCUCUCAUCAAGACAGGCGAAAUGCCCUCAACCUCAGAUUUCGAUAUAACUCACAGGGUGUGUUUAGUACAUCAAAAAAUAAUUUUGGGCCCAUAGCCUGCUCUUACGUAGCGGCAGACUGCUACGAUUUUUUAGAGGGGGGUCCGGGAGAGCCAUCAAUUGUUAAUAGCUGCUUUACCCAUAACUUGUACCUACUUAUGUAUAGUAGGUGCGACUUAUAGUUAAUAAAGCAAGGGAUCGUCAGUUUUUUUUUUCAACUUCCACCUCUCCAAAAUUUUUAAAAUUUUUAUGGCAGGUAGUAUGUUUAUGGAUAAAUAACACGUGUUUAGACUAGAAAAAUUUAAUUGUCACUUUGACCCUUCAUUACAAAAUGGCGGCUCAAAAUUUUCGAAAGGGCAUAAGCCCCUCCCCCUCCCAAUUGCCCAAAAUUCUUUUCCUGAAUUGGUUUUGUUCUUUGGACACCUUAGAACCCAUCUAAAAAAACGCGAACUUUUUAUCAGCAUUUGUAGAGCAGGAAAAUAAGUGAAAAAGCGGGGGCUAAAAGGAAAAAAUUGGCACAUGAAUUUUUUCUUCGGGAAUGUGUUCAGAUGAACCCCCUGAACUACCAAAAAAAAACCGUCCCUCUUACCCCUGGAACUAAUUUUUUUAGAGGGCUAAAACCGGUUGCGAUUCACGUUUUUUGCGUUUUACUCCAAAAAUAUGUAUUAAUUAGGUUUUUUGAUAAAAAUUACCAUAUAGCCAAAAAUGUUCCCCUUCAAAUUAUCUACAAUUUGAUACUACGCUCGAUACCCAUCCCUCAAGGGGGUGUCUGAAAACAGGGGUGGAAAGAGUAGGUGUUUCAAAAAAGGUCAGUCCAAUAAAUUAAUCAAAGGUACCACUUGAUAGUCUACACAUCCAACUACUAAUCAAACCAGCAUUCGAUAUAUCACUCGACUUUUCACGACUUUUCAAAAUCUUGACGCUUUUUUGGGGCACAGAGAGGCUUUAAAGGGUUGAAUCCAAAAAAUAAGUUCAUAUUUAUACUCAAAGACCUCGAAAACGUACCAUUCGAUGUACUUAGGUAUCUCUCGACUUUUCAUGAUUUUUCAAAAUUUGGUCAUUAAUUGGGGCUAAGAGGGACAUUGUGAGGUAGAACCCAGAAAAGUAGUUCAUAUUCGUAAUCAGCGACCUCAAAAACAUACCAUUCGUUAUAUCACUCGACUUUUCACGAUUUUUCAAAAUUUGGCCCCUUCUUUGGGGCACAGAGAGACAUUGUAGGGUGGGACCCAAAAAAUAAGUUCAUAUUUGUGCUUGACGACCUCAAAAACAUUCCAUUUGAUAUAUCACUUGACUUUUUGAUAAUUUUUCGAAAUUUUGGUCCCCUUGUUGGGGCACAGAGGGACAUUUUGGGAGGUGCCACACAAAAAAUAAGUUCAUAUUCGUACUCAGCGGCCUCGAAAACAUACCAUUCGAUAUAUCACUCGACUUUUCACGAUUUUUCAAAAUUUUAACCCCCUCUUUGUGGCACAGAGGGGCUUUGAGGAGUUGGACCCAGAAAAUAACUUGGUAUUCGUAUUCAAAGACCUCGAUAACAUGCUAUUCGAUAUAUCGCAUGUCCAGAUUCGUUUUUCAAAUAUAUGAUUCAGUAGUGUGCUCCUAGAAAAAUCAAACAUCCCCCACCAACCCCUUGGGAGGGUUGAAGACCAAUAAAUGGUGGUUUGAUUAGUGGGUGUGCACGUGUGCAGACUUUGUAAACAAAAUUUGAGCGAAAACAAAUGAUAUUAAGUGGUACCUUUGAUUAAUUUAUUGGACUGACCUUUUUUGAAACACCUACUCUUUCCACCCCUGUUUUUAGACACCCCCUUGAGGGAUGAGUAUCGAGCGUAGUAUCAAAGUGUAGAUAAUUUGAAGGGGAACAUUUUUAGUCAUGGUACUUUUUAUCGUAAACCUAAUAUUUUUGGAGUAAAAUGCAAAAAAAUGUGAAUCGUAACCGGUUUUAGCCCUCUAAAAAAAUUAGCUCCAGUUUUUUGAAAAAAAUAUGUUUUUUAUAGGUCAAAAACACAUUUGAAAAUGCUAUUCCCAUUUUUGUGCCGAAUCAUGGUCAUCGCUAAAACGGGCAAACAAAGCUAAAAAACCGCCAUUUUGAGGGGAAAAUAUGGUGGGGGGUGAAAAUUUUUGUGGAGAUAUUUCUUAUGGAUGUUUACAACGUACCAAAAAAUUAAAAAAAUCGGUUUAAACAAUUUUUCACGCCUAUUUCGUAAAUCAUUUCUCGUGAUUCGUCGCCACAUUUUUUUCAAAAAGGGGAGAGGGGGCUGCACUAACGUCAGGAAUAGCUGCACUAACCUGCACUUUAACCUGCACUAACGAUGCCCAAUCAAUCUAUUUAUGGGUUUCAUCCGAUUUCACGUAUAAUGGGUGGGGCCACUGAAAUGGACCAAAAAUUCUGGAUAAAUUGAAAAAUCAUGCUGGAAGCUCCAGAAUGGUUGGAAAUGAUGAAUUUCUCCCGUCGAGGGGGGGGGAGAAUCAAUUCUAGACGACAUUCGCGCAAAUUUCAAAAAUUUCCUCGCACACGGGAAAUUUUUGAUUUUUGAUCAUUUUUCUUAGUUAUGUAAAAAUUUGGCUAAAAACCCACUCUUGAGGUAUCCUUUCCAGAAUCGGCUCAAAUGUGGAUAAACUCGUUAAACAGAUGGAGUAUAAUACACAAAGCGAUUUUUAGCUGCCCACCUAAAAUUCUGGAGAAAUUGAAAAAUCGCGUUGGAAGCUCCAGAAUGGCUGGAAAUGAUGAAAUUCCGAUUUGGGGAAAUAAUAUCAAUUUUAGAACUUAUUUCAAUCAUUUGUACUGAUCAAGUACAUACGUACUUUUUUUUCUAAAAAAAAAGGCAUAAAUCACCAAAAACAGACAAUUUUGAAUAGUCGAACGUUCGCCAAAAAUUGAAAAAUGAGUUGGGCCGCUGAAAAUUUGGUUUUGGGGGUUUUAGACCGUACUGGCAUACUCUUUCCAAAAAUCGCGGUCCAUGUUCAAAUCGGAGGUGGACUCCUCAAGAAGUUCCCUUGUAAGAGAAGCAAAGUGCAUCAUGGGUUAUUCCACCUCAAUUUGACCAACGUUUUUGAGUCAUGUCUUUCGAUUUUCGCUCAAUUUUUUUUACAAUGUCUACCCACCCAAUAAGUAGGAAACCCGCAAUCAGUUUGGUCACCGCCCCCACAGGGGCGGGUGGCACUGCGAGGGGCUUCAAUCAUUUUCACAUUGUCUCGAGCUACUCAACUUCAGCAGCGCGUGCCUCCAAAGCUGUGAUACUUUGAUCAAAACUGAUUUCACAGUUCGAAAGGGCAUUGCAUUUUGGACUUUUUAAACAUUUUGAAAUUUUCAAAAGUUGAAAAUUGAACUUUCAAAUUAAAAGUUCAAAUUUCAAAAUGGCGCUGUAAGUGGGAGCUACCAUUUAAAAUUCUGAAAAAAUGUCCAUAGCUGUAUUUUUUGAUGCUUUUUUGAAAUAUUUAAACUUCGAGAUGGGAUCUCUUAAUGGAGGGGGAGCACCUUCACCCACAAUUUGAGGCAAAACUUACAAAAAAAAUCUGGGGCAUGUAAUAUAUAAUUAUCAAAUAGUAUGUUUUUGGUGACGAUGAACACGAAUAUGACGUCAGAUUUUUGAUUGCGCCAAUCCGCAGCCCCUAACAAUUUUUUUUUCAACUUUUACCCAUUGAUGGAGGUUCUGGGAGCCAUGGGUGAGGUGAAUUUGAAAAACUAAGUCUAUAUUCGUGUUCAGCGAUACCAAAAGCAUACUAUUUCAUGUGUCACACGAAUGAAACCAUUUUCUUUGAGGUGACCCCCUUUGGGAAGGUGCUGGGGGCCGUGGAUGGAUCUAAUAAAAAAUCUGACGUAAAAUUCAUGUUCAGCGUCACCAAAAACAUACAAUUCGAUGUAUCACAUACCCCAUAUUUCUUUUUGAAAGUUUCGCCCAAACAUGGGGAAGGGGGUGCUCGCACACCAUUAAAAGAUCCCAUCUCGAAAAUUGAAUACAAUUUCAAAAAAGCAUCAAAAGGCACAUCUGUGGAAAUUUUUUCAGAAUUUUAAAUGGUAGCUCCUACUUACAGCGCCAUUUUAAAAUUUGAACUUCCAAGUUUUGAAAAUUUCAAAUUGCUUAAAAAGUUUAAAAUGCAAUGGCCUUUUGAACUGUGAAAUCAGUUUUGAUCAAAGUAUUAUAGCUUUGAAGGGAUGCAUUGCUGAAGUUGAGUACCUCGAGACAAUGUGAAAAUAAUGGAAGCCUCCUCCCCCCCCCCCCACCGCUGAUGAGGCUGGGACCCUUACUUAUUGGGUGGGUAGACAUUGAAAAAAAAAAUUUGAGCGAAAUCGAAAGACAUGAUUUUCAAAAUUGUAUUUUUUUGGUCGAAUUGAUAUAGAAUGACCCUCAUAAGAGAGAAGAACGCUAGCGCGUUGCUGGCAUUAUGCUAGCGCCUAACUGCUAGCACCUGCGUAAGAAGUCUUUACCAAAUAUCUACCACCAAUAUCACCAUUGCUAAUAAUAUGUAAUUAAUAAAACCAUACUUACUCGUACUUAGCGAAAACGAAAUUUUCAAUUGGCCAAAAUUCUUGUCCUAAAUUGGUUUUGUUCCUUGGACACCUUAGAACCAAUCUAAAAAAAAAGGGGGACUUUUUAUCAGAAUUUGGUGAAAGAUGAGAAAAUUAAGGGGAAAAUACAUUUCAGCCCCUCCAACCACCACCCCUCCAUACUUGCUCUAGGGGUCCACAAUUUUCAUCGCAGUUUCUUUCCUCAUAGUUGACUUUUUGGGGCAGGAGAGGUCAAUCUGUUUCAGUGGCCAAAUCACCAUACUUAACUUCAAACUUAUUACUUUUUAGUAUAAAAUCUUGUUGAAUAUACACUAUUACGUAGAAGAAAAAAAAAUAGUACUUACUGAGGCGUUUUGUUUCGUUUUUAAUCACUACACUGAGAAAAAAGAGUAUAAAACAUAGUACAAUUUAUUCUGUGGUUCAUUUGACCACAAAGUGUAGCGCAUUUGAAUAUAAACUAUAGCAUAUUGUGAUACACAUAUAGUAGGUGUCCAAAUUACGUUAUCAUUCCACUUGAUAUCAGGUAGUCUGUAAUGAUUAUCAAACUCAUUGCUGAAAAUAAAACAUUUAGUUUCUCCCACCCAACUGAAGAAUGGGAUUUGAAUAAGUCACUGAGAAAAAAAUUGAGACAAUUGAGUUUUAAAAAGAAAUGUACCUAUUAAAAAUAAAUUCUUCAGUUGAUAAUUGAUAUGAUAUUUUGAUAUUAAUAAUAUAGGUAUGUAUUUGAAAAAAAAAAAUCUUACAUUAAUAAGCUUAAUCAAAUUCAUAAAUUGAAAUUGUCAAUAUUAUUUGUCAGAAGACACUGAGACACUGGUCACUGGUCUGAUCAAAUUGAAAAAGAAAAAAAAAGAAGUAGGUAUUAAUAUAAUUUGUAGACAUUUUUCAGUUCACUCCUACACAUAUCUAUAAUGGAUUACCCCGUAGGUACACUUUCUACAACACUUGAAUGCCAAUUCAAGUUUGUUCCUUAAAAAAUCUAAAUGCAACUAAUAAUACAUAUGAUGUCAAGAUUUUGAAUAUUCAGUUUGAUUUUAGGGGAAAAUACACCAGGUAUUUUAUGAGUUAAUUUCAGUAAUAUUUUUCAACAAAAUAUUGACGUAAAUUCUGAAAUGAGGUUUUAUUAUAAAGUUUAAAUAAAAUAUCAGUAAUUUGAUUUUUUGAUAAACGAAUUGCUGAGAUAUUAUCUUUUUACUAAACAAUUUUGUGAGUUAUGUUUGUGAUACCUAUCAUUUUGUUAACCUAAACACAAAUUUAAUACAUAUCACGAAUAACCUCAGACAUUGCAACAUAUUCUGCUUCAGUUGUACUGAGAGCAAUGCAAUCUUGUUUUCUAGAUGACCACACUAAUAAAAAUCACCAAAAUGAGUUUUAUGUACUACUGUACCUAUUUGAUUACAAGGUCACGUGUCCCUUUUGAAUAUUUGAAAAUUUGCUUAACCGUGGUCCAGUGAACUCGUUUUGGAUUUUGUUGAAAUCUACUUAAAAAAUUGGUGGCAAAAAGAAUAUCAAAUUUUAUACAAUUCUCUCACCAAAAACAUUAAUGGCCCUAGCCCUAUAGCUUGCCUAUAUGGCGCAUUUUCACUCAAUUUCGGACUAUCACUUUCAAUUUUUGUACUGCUGGUCACAGGUACAGAUACUUACCUACAAUAAGUCAUAUUAAUAUUGCAUGCUAUGUGUGCAAAUUUUAAAAUUUCACAUUUAUUACUGGAAGUACCUACUAAGCAGAAGAAAAAUCUAUUAACUUACCUAAUCUUCCUUUGAUAGAGAAGAAUUUUACAAAAUAAUGAAUAAAUGUAGAAUGAGCAACUCAAAUACUCCGCAUGUAGUUCUCUUUCUUGAUCUCCUUUGCAAGCUUUUUGUCCUCAAAGGUAACCUCGUUGCAUAGCUGUUCAAAGCUGUUAUUCUGCACUCGCCGUUUGUUUGGUUCUUUAAUGAACCAGUGACUCUAAAUUGUCUUGUGCAACUUGAUUAUUACCUAAAUUGUUUCGGGAGCUCAAAUAUAUCUUCUAUCCAUAGGCUACGGAAAUUCUAGCUGCUGUGGAAAAGUAAAUUAAUUUGGUAGAUGGGGUCAUAUUGUGUUGCUUAUGAUCAGGUAAACAAUCAUGUUGUAUUAUUAUUUUCAAAGGUAGGUACCUAAUUGAAAAUACAACUUUCAGCUAGGUACAUAUGUACUUCAAAUCGAAAAUUAAAAACUGCAAUUGAUGUAUGAUCUACAGUAUAGGCACUUAAUAAUAAUUUAGAAUGUUUCCCAGUGUGUCAGAUUCUCGCGAGUACCUACAUACGUACCUAUCGUUUUCUUUGUGAUGACAUCGUUGAUGUUUUUCAAAAAACUUUCUUUGAGCAACUUGUUAUAGAGAUUUUGGAAAUUUCCCCAAUUCAUGUUUAAAAUUGAUAUAGGUAAAUUUAUUAGACUCUUAUGCUCAUAUAUUAAUGCUGUUACUUAAGUUACUAUACCUAAGUAGGUAUUUUCUUUAUACCUACCUACACAGAAAUGUUUCUAUGUGGUAUACUUUUAAUUUUACUCUUAACUAUUGUUGAACUCAUUUUUGUACAUAAAUUACUUUUCAAAUA